GAUGAACGCUGGCGGCGUGCCUAAUACAUGCAAGUCGAGCGUACAGACGAGGAGCUUGCUCCUCUGACGUUAGCGGCGGACGGGUGAGUAACACGUGGAUAACCUACCUAUAAGACUGGGAUAACUUCGGGAAACCGGAGCUAAUACCGGAUAAUAUAUUGAACCGCAUGGUUCAAUAGUGAAAGACGGUUUUGCUGUCACUUAUAGAUGGAUCCGCGCCGCAUUAGCUAGUUGGUAAGGUAACGGCUUACCAAGGCGACGAUGCGUAGCCGACCUGAGAGGGUGAUCGGCCACACUGGAACUGAGACACGGUCCAGACCCCUACGGGAGGCAGCAGUAGGGAAUCUUACGCAAUGGGCGAGAGCCUGACGGAGCAACGCCGCGUGAGUGAUGAAGGUCUUCGGAUCGUAAAACUCUGUUAUUAGGGAAGAACAAAUGUGUAAGUAACUAUGCACGUCUUGACGGUACCUAAUCAGAAAGCCACGGCUAACUACGUG
rnacentral:rRNA from 1 species